CCUACGGGGGGCUGCAGUAGGGAAUUUUCGUCAAUGGGCGCAAGCCUGAACGAGCGAUGCCGCGUGAGUGAAGAAGGCCUUCGGGUCGUAAAGCCCUGUUGCGGGGGAAAAAAGGCAGCAUCAGGAAAUGGGUGCUGACUGAUGGUGCCCCGCCAGAAAGUCACGGCUAACUACGUGCCAGCAGCUGCGGUAAUACGUAGGUGGCGGGCGUUAUCCGGAAUGAUUGGGCGUAAAGGGUGCGCAGGCGGUCCUGCAAGUCUGGAGUGAAACGCAUGAGCUCAAACCAUGCAGGGCUUUGGAAACUGGAGGAGGGGAGUGGGAGAGAGGGAGGAGGAACGCGGGGGGUAGGGGUAAAAUGCGUAGAUAUAGGGAAGAAC
rnacentral:rRNA from 1 species